UACUAGCAAGUAACCCACGAGUGGUAGGGAGCAAGAUGGCAGCCUCGUUACAAGCCGCAGCUACACUGAUGCAACCCACCAAGGUGGGUGUGGUACCCGCUCGCAGCAGCAGCCUGCAGCUGAGGUCUUCACAGAGCGUUUCGAAGGCUUUUGGUGUCGACUCAGCUGGUGCUAGGAUCUCUUGCACUUUGAAUAAUGACUUGAAGGAUUUGGCUCAGAAAUGUGUUGAUGCUACCAAGAUCGCUGGCUUUGCCCUCGCCACUUCUGCUCUCGUCGUUUCGGUCUGUCUAUCAUCUCUUACUAUGUUUUCCUUUUGCUUCUAUUUACUACUAUCGAUUAUUAUUUUUUUAGUACAUAUGUGACAGCAUAAUGAUUUUGUAACAUGUGUUGUAUUAUUUCUUGGUAUGUUUAGUUUCGAUUUUCACUUGUCAACGCAAAAGUGUACUAAAUGCUCCUAGUCAUUAAUUUAUCCCCAUCAUGUUGUUCUGUUCUGAAUUAUGCCGAUACACUACUAUAAAUAUUUGGAGACGGGUUGUGGCUCUUUUCAAUUGACGGAGAAGGCAACAAUUAUCAGGCGCCAAUAAAUGUUCUCUCACUCUCAGAGUUUAGGCCGUCAACAGACCAAAUUUCAAUUUUAAUUUGUUAUAAUUGCUGUUACUAUAACUAAAUCAUCGAAGAAUUAGUUUAAAGAUAGUGAAAAUGUUGUUGGGAAAGGACUUUAUGAUCUGACAUUGUUGAAUAAUUGCUUGUUUCCUCAGGGAGCAAGUGCUGAAGGUGUUCCAAAGAGGCUAACCUAUGAUGAAAUCCAGAGCAAGACAUACAUGGAAGUAAAGGGAACCGGAACUGCUAACCAGUGCCCAACCAUUGAUGGCGGAGUUGACUCUUUUGCCUUCAAACCUGGCAAAUACCAGGCUAAGAAGUUCUGCCUAGAACCAACUUCCUUCACUGUCAAGGCUGAGAGUGUCAACAAGAAUGCCCCACCAGAUUUCCAGAACACCAAGCUCAUGACCCGCCUUACCUACACCCUUGACGAGAUUGAGGGACCUUUUGAAGUGUCCCCCGAUGGCACCAUUAAGUUUGUGGAGAAGGAUGGAAUUGACUAUGCUGCUGUGACAGUUCAGCUGCCUGGAGGCGAGCGUGUGCCCUUCCUUUUCACCAUCAAACAAUUGGUAGCAUCAGGCAAGCCUGAGAAUUUCGGAGGAGAGUUCCUUGUACCAUCAUACCGUGGAUCAUCCUUCUUGGACCCAAAGGGAAGGGGUGGUUCAACUGGUUAUGACAAUGCUAUUGCAUUGCCUGCUGGCGGAAGAGGGGAUGAGGAAGAUCUCGCCAAGGAGAAUAUCAAGAAUACUUCAUCUUCAACAGGGAAGAUCACCCUCAGCGUUACCAAGAGCAAGCCUGAGACUGGAGAGGUUAUUGGAGUGUUUGAGAGCCUUCAGCCAUCUGAUACUGAUAUGGGAGCCAAGGUUCCAAAGGAUGUUAAGAUCCAGGGUAUCUGGUAUGCACAGCUUGAGCAAUAGAGCUUUUCUUGUAUGAGUGUACUUAUUCCUAUUCAGAUUUUGAAACAUGUUGAAGGUGUUGCUAAACAUUUCUGUAAUUCAAUUUAGUAGCACUGAGAAUGUUGUCAUGUCUGUAUAUUAUCGUGGCAUGCUAUAAUAAUGCUUGCAAUUCUGAACGGUGAUGGGUUUGAGUGAUUUGAGGCCUGAACACACCUCUCACCAGUGAUAUCGAAAGCCUGGAGACAUUUCCACAUGUAGCCUAUAGCCGCCCAUCCCAUUAUGGGAUUCUCCUGAUCGGGAAUAGCCUGAUGCAGUGAUUGGAAUUGACAUUGUUAAUGUUCAUCCUGUUAUUACCUCAAAACUUAUUAGCCCAUGGAAGGUCAGAAAUGAGGCCAUAGAAGGUCAUAAAUGAUCAUCUUUCCAGGUCGCUAGCACUAUUUAUUAAACUCCUGGCCGUGGAGAAUGAAUAUGCCAACUCUUGCCAAAAUGUAUUCCGGCUUCAGAUAUCAGGGAAACUUUAUUGCUCUAACUUAAUUAGAGGCUAC
rnacentral:lncRNA from 1 species